AGAAUCAACGCUGGCGGCGUGCCUAACACAUGCAAGUCGCACGAGAAAGGGGCUUCGGCCCUGAGUAAAGUGGCGCACGGGUGAGUAACACGUGAAUUAUCUACCUCCGAGUGGGGAAUAACUGAGAGAAAUCUUAGCUAAUACCGCAUAACACUUACGAGUCAAAGCAGCAAUGCGCUUGGAGAGGAGUUCGCGGCCGAUUAGUUAGUUGGCGGGGUAAUGGCCCACCAAGACGAUGAUCGGUAUCCGGCCUGAGAGGGCGCACGGACACACUGGAACUGAAACACGGUCCAGACUCCUACGGGAGGCAGCAGUGGGGAAUUUUGCGCAAUGGGGGAAACCCUGACGCAGCAACGCCGCGUGGAGGAUGAAGUCCCUUGGGACGUAAACUCCUUUCGAUCGGGACGAUUAUGACGGUACCGGAAGAAGAAGCCCCGGCUAACUUCGUGCCAGCAGCCGC
rnacentral:rRNA from 1 species